GUACAGAGGUCUCAAGCGUUGUUCGGAUUCAUUGGGCGUAAAGGGUGCGUAGGCGCGCGGUAAGUCGGGUGUGAAAUCUUGGAGCUUAACUCCGAAACUGCAUUCGAUACUGCCGUGCUUUGAGGACUGGAGAGGAGACUGGAAUUUACGGUGUAGCGGUGAAAGUGCGUAGAUAUCGUAAGGAAGACCAGUGGCGAAGG
rnacentral:rRNA from 1 species